rnacentral:rRNA from 1 species
CCUACGGGAGGCAGCAGUGAGGAAUAUUGGUCAAUGGACGUGAGUCUGAACCAGCCAAGUAGCGUGAAGGAUGACUGCCCUAUGGGUUGUAAACUUCUUUUAUAUGGGAAUAAAGUGUUCCACGUGUGCUCUUUUGUAUGUACCUUAUGAAUAAGGAUCGGCUAACUCCGUGCCAGCAGCCGCGGUAAUACGGAGGAUCCGAGCGUUAUCCGGAUUUAUUGGGUUUAAAGGGUGCGUAGGUGGAUUGUUAAGUCAGCUGUGAAAGGGCGCGGCUCAACCGUGACAUUGCCGGGGAAACUGGCAGGCUGGAGUAGAGGAGAGGUGGGCGGAAUUCGUGGGGUAGCGGUGAAAUGCUUAGAUAUCACGAAGAACUCCGAUUGCGAAGGCAGCGUACUGGAUCGCAACUGACGCUGAGGCUCGAAAGCGUGGGUAUCAAACAGGAUUAGAUACCCUGGUAGUC